UUUUUGGAAAUAAAAUUUUAUUUUAGGCUGGUCAUGGUGGCUCAAGCCUGUAAUCCCAGCACUUUGGGAGGCCAAGGCUGAUAGGUUUUGCCAUGUUGCCCAGGCUGAUCUGGAACUCCUGACCCCUUGAGUUCAGGAAUUCGAGACCACCCAGGGCAACAUGACAAAACCCCACCUCUACACCAUUACUUUUAAUAGUUGCUCAGUCACUCAUGGUUAUGUGAUUAAGAAACUAUGAAAAUUUAACAUAUUUUACUUUAGUAUUUCUACUUUUGUUCAGUUUUAAAUAUUUGCAAUAUUUCAUUAUUCCCCAUUGACUUUUGGUUUGUUUGAAAGUAUGCUAUAUAAAUUUCCAAAGAGAUUGUAUCUUCUAAGCUCUCUGUCUGCUUUUUAUUGAAUGAACUUAAUUGCCCUCUGGUCAGAAGUUGGUUUCACCAAUAUAAAUUUUCUGAAAUUGAAGGAUAGCUUUAAAUCUUAGCACAUGGCCAAUUUUUGCAAAUGUCUUUCCAUAUGUACUUGAAGAUAAUGUUUUCUGAUAAGCCCAAUGUUUAUUAUCCAUAUAUUAUUUUAGGCUUUACAAUUUGACAUUCAAAUAAUAUCAUUUUAGACUUUUGUUUUGCUUGAUCCAUGGUUUACU
rnacentral:lncRNA from 1 species